rnacentral:lncRNA from 1 species
ACCUUUUAGAUCACUAUUUUAGUGAUCUAAAAGGUCUUGUAUUAGUUUGAAGAGGGAGCACUUAAUAAGACUGUAGGCCAGUACAUCAAAGUAAUGCCGGCUUCCCAUUGAUUUGAUCAAACCAAUAUGACAAAGGGAAGGUGAAACUUCAGAAAACCAUAUAAAUUGACCACGAUGUCUUAAUUUAAAACUCUGAAAUGAAGUAAUAAACAUUAAGUCUGAAUGUUGUCACUAAAAAAGCAUAAAAAAGGCAGACCAGCCAGGAGUGCAUCAUAACCAGUGGUUCAUCAUGCGCAAACCAGGCAGCAGUAGCCUAAUAACUUAGACAGAAAAAAUGUAAGAAGUAAAAGCACAAGGUGGGAAAUAGGACCGAGCAUUGACAGGUAACCAAAUAAUGAAGGAAUAUCCUCAUGAAAAUCAAGAACAGUAAAUUAGCAUCCAGAAGUACAUAGAAACAAACAUUCCGCUUGGCAGAGUGUGAUCUCAGUAUGAUGUCAAUAGCUGGGACUAAGAAGGUAACCACGUAGAGUGUCACACCUAAGGGCGUUUUCUUACGUCUCUACUCUCUAGUAAUACAACUCACUAUUGAUUGAUUUAACUAAGGUAUUCUUCAGUUGGGUAUUUAUAAAGGAAAUUCACUAUGCUUUUUUACCAGCGAGUAGAGAGCAACUGAAAGACUUAUGUUUUUAAAUGCAAGAACAAACCUCACCAGGCUGCUGUGCAGACUUAUUGUCAGUGGAAGAUGCUACAACUGAGCAAAAUUGGCUUGGGAUUUCUUCUAUGCCUGCUGCUCCCUCCUGCAGCAAUUAUUUAGAACAACAAAACAAUUUACUGUGAGAUGAGAGAAGGCACACUAAAGAAGCACAUCUGUAAGUGUAUAUCUAAUAAUAUAGAUGCUACAAAUCAAUAGAACUAAAAUACUCCAGCAGUUGGGAUCAGCUAGAUCUAUGUCUACAUCACCAAAUCAGAAGUUCAGUUACCUGUGGUUCGCUUGAUAGUAGUUGCAGGUUUUCAUGCGCUGAACUCAAGAACCGACCAGCAGCAACCAAAUCUAAGCGCACAACCAUCCCUCACAAUUUGAAUUCUACCCCAGCAAGUACAGACACGUCCUCUGCAACCUCACACAGAUACGAAAGCGUCAUAAAGCACACCGCACUACGCCGCCACCACGACCUCCAAAACAUGUAUAACGACUGAAAUAAGCGGACGCAUUCUACUCACACACAAGCAUGACAUAUAAGCGGGACGAGGCCGAACAAUACACGAUGGCAUGCCAGAUCCAGAAAAUUAAAAUGAUCAGCAAUUUAAACACCAUGACAACACGUACAGGAAAGGAAAUAUGCAUUUUAGCUAGACAGAAAGCAAGCAAACCUCGAUGGCAGAACAGAGAUGCAACAAAGCAGAAGAUCAGGAUGCAGCAACACAAGAGAUCGCAGAACCUAAUAAAUAAAUGGACAUGAAGUGGUCAGUGCACCGGCAUGCUAUGGAAUAGACAAGUAAAAGAAGAGUCGUUCCCCGGGCAAAUUAAAGAACGGUCCAUUUACCUGAGUUAGAGUGGAGAAGCAGGCAAGCAGAGCAGCCAAGAUGGAUGAGCAUACGAAGGACGAGCGGCCGGCAAAACCAAACACAAAAACAGAAACCAAAUAGAGAUCAAUUUUCAGCUCAACCAGUAGAUUCACUCCUUCAGGUAUACAUCCUAAUUGGUCCUACAAUGAUCACAAGAAAUUAGAGGAUGGAACUUGACUGCCUUCUGUAUCAUUUGAAGGACGAACUUGACUGGCUAUUAAAAUGAUAAAAUGCAUGAUUGCCGCGGCACAUGUACUUUUUUGUGGGAAAACAUGCUGUUAGGUGCAGAAGUAAAGAACAUAUCGCAUGGUUGCUUGUUGGCAUGUAUAAAAUCAUCAGACCAAGACAGAAGAACCAUGAUUAUCAUAUGUACUGGAACCAAGAUCUACAUAGUGGCAGCCAUUGAUCUAGUUACUCAAGGGUAGUGCUACUGUUAAACAACAACUCUAAAGCAAAGUUACUGAAUC